UAUCCUCAGGCAUUCUUCUACUAAUAAAUCCAUGUAAAUACAGACCGAUUAGAUAAUUUUCAAUUAAGAAUCAUUUAAAUUGUUUACAACUAAGGAAAAUUCAGAUUUUUAAUUUCAAUUAUUGAACAGUUAGAUACAUUUUGUUGAUUUCAAAAAUAAUGAAGCCUAAAUGAAACAUGCAUUUAUUUUCUAACCAUUAAGCAUGUUUGACUUAUUUUGCUUUCUUACAGAAGCGUUUCCAUGUGGUUAACUUAAAUGUGAAAAUUCUUCUCCGUAACUUGCUUCAUUACCAAAAUAUCUUAAAAGAUAUUCUUAUAAUUGUCCCAAGUGUACUGGUUUUGAGUGACAUUUUAAGUAAAAGGCAAUUUUCAAAUCUAUACUUAAAUAAAAUUUUAAGAAAUAUUAGGUAUUUCCAUCAUUUAAUAAAUAGGAAAAUGUAUAUACUUUAAGAAACAUAGAACAUUGCGUCUUGCUUAGGUUGACAUCUCUUGUAGCAUGUGUUCAAACAAUGAUGUUCUUGGCAAUUUUGUGCCACAAUUUUCACCUCUCUUCACAUAUUUAGAGGUGGCAUCAUAAAGUGCUUCAACAUGUAUAGGCAAAUAGUGUCCUUUUAACAUGUCACAUGCUUAUUCUACACAUGUGUACAUGUAUUUAUACAAUUAUUUGUUCAUGUAACUUUUGAACAGCGGAAUACUAAAUGUGGUCAGAAUUUGUCCCAAGUGUAAACUUUGUAAGAAAAUUCUUCUGAAAUUUUCAUAAGAUAGAAUUUUCAAGGUUUUACAUCAUUUUCUUCAAACCAUUAAUGCUUAUCACAAGAUGUACUGAAAGUUUGAUGCCAAAAACCUUGUGAACUUUUUUUGCAAGACAAAUAUUGUGUUGUCCCAAGUGUACGAAUUUUUUAUCAUGUUUGAUGGACAUGUGUCAUCUUUAAAAAAUACACAAAGGUACUAAUUUUCUGGAAAGAAGUACACAGAAGGGUGUAAUCUCCAAGAGAAAAGGUGGUUGUUUUACUCUGGAGGCGAAAUACUCUUAUUAUAUGGGUAUGUCUACAUAUUUUGUGUUCAGAAGGAAAAUAUAAGCGUAUUAACCUUUAUGUGUAGGAAGUAUAUUUGACUUUACCAUAAGAUUAUAACACAAAUACAUUUCCGUCAAUUUUAAACAAAAUCUUUCUCCAAUAAUCUUUAAUGUUAGCCUGAAGUUGGUCAUUAAAUCCAAUAAAGUUUUAAACUGUCAAUUUACACACACUAGUUAUUGAAAGCUAUACCUGUAUCUUUCGUCCGUGUACUACGGACUUCAUCAGCAGGAUGAAUGUCUACUGUUGGGAAAUGUUAACACCGCUAAUUGUCGGGGUGAGCGAUGUUAACGUAUGGUUCCAGGUGUGCAAGGUUGGUUUAACUUGGAUCAUCAUGAAAGUUGUUGAUAAUGUUUGUGGUCAAAAUAUCUCGAACCAGUUUAGUAACAAGCCAGAAUGCAUGUAGCACUUCCAAAAUAUGACUUUUUUAACUAAAAACAAAUGACCAAAAUAAACUUUUCUGCCAUUGCACUCACGAUCAAUUUAACCCAGUCUUUUAAACAAGUGUAUUUUGUUGGCUUUCUUGUUUUGAUUAAACAACUGGGUAAGCCGUCUGAAAUCUUGCCCCUUGUCAGUGCAAAAUGCCAUCAGAAUGUAUGUAAUAAGGCGUCAUUAUCUCAACAUUUCAUACACUAAACUUUGUAGUGCUGUGUAUUAUUUUUGUCCUGUGUCUUAAUUUUAGUGAAGUACCUUUUAGUGAUGCUAAGAAUGAUUUCCUACAGAUGCAACUUGAGUUAUACUGUGUUUAUAUUUAAUUGUACAGGACAUCUUGCCAAUGAACAUGGUGCCCUUUCCGGAAUGAACAGUGCCAAUGCGACUAACGUGACCCUUCAGAGAAAUAGAAUUUUAGGACCAAUAUCACCCCAGUAUCAAUCAGGGCUCCAACAACAGCCGCCCCCAGUCCAAGCCUUGUGAGCCUUUGGGAAGGGGUCAAGAUGCCCACGAGGUCUCAACUCUGUUUGUCCCGAGGCUUCUUCCAGCAGCAGUGGAACAACAUGGCAUCCCAGCAGGGGAUAUCACACUAUAACAACGGUCACCUAUAAUUGUCUGGUGGCGUUCAGCUUCAGACGUUGCAAAAUCAGCUUUAUUCGUUCAGCGAGCCCACAGUAUCCAAACAACAAAGCCAUCCACACAGGAACAACAACAACAUCACGCGGAUCAGCCAUCUCAAAUCCACACGCUAACAACCUGUGUUGAAUCAAUGGAGUCAAAAUAUGCUUACCCGUCUUGUUGUCAUCCCAGUAAUAGCUUGGGGGUCAAGCUCAGGUUCAAGGACACGGCGAUAUGGGGAUGUUUGACAGGC